rnacentral:rRNA from 1 species
AGUGAACGCUGGCGGUAGGCCUAACACAUGCAAGUCGAACGGCAGCACAGUAAGAGCUUGCUCUUACGGGUGGCGAGUGGCGGACGGGUGAGGAAUACAUCGGAAUCUACUUUUUCGUGGGGGAUAACGUAGGGAAACUUACGCUAAUACCUCAUACCACCUACGGGUGAAAGUAGUGGAUCUUCGGACCUUGCGCGAUUGAAUGAGCCGAUGUCGGAUUAGCUAGUUGGCGGGGUAAAGGCCCACCAAGGCGACGAUCCGUAGCUGGUCUGAGAGGAUGAUCAGCCACACUGGAACUGAGACACGGUCCAGACUCCUACGGGAGGCAGCAGUGGGGAAUAUUGGACAAUGGGCGCAAGCCUGAUCCAGCCAUACCGCGUGGGUGAAGAAGGCCUUCGGGUUGUAAAGCCCUUUUGUUGGGAAAGAAAAGCAGCAGGUUAAUACCCCGCUGUUCUGACGGUACCCAAAGAAUAAGCACCGGCUAACUUCGUG